rnacentral:rRNA from 1 species
AUGGCGCCGCACAUCGUGCUCCUCCUCGCGGCGAGCUUCGCAGCUUCACAAGCGGCGGUGGAGUGCGGCCCCUCGGCCGCCUCUCCCUCCCCAGCACCAGCACCAGCACCAUCGCCGACGCCGUCAAACAGCAGCGCGUUCCGGGCCAAUAUCCUGGCACUCCUGGACGCGCUCCCCCAUGCCGCGGCGCCCACGGGCUUCGCCUCCCUCUCCCGGGGCGGCGGCGGCGACCGGGCCUUCGUCCGCGGCCUCUGCCGCGGUGACUUAAACCAGUCCGUGUGCCUGGCGGACCUGCAGGAGGCCGUCCGGGACCUGAGCGGCAGGUGCGCCUCCAGCCGGAGCGUGGGGGCGUGGUACAGACAAGUCUACAUCAGCUACGCCGACACCAACGACUCGGCCAUCUACGAGGGGCCAGGGCGCGUCAACCAGGUACUGUACGACGCCCGCAAGGUGACUUACGCGGGCAGCUACGACCGGGCGUACUACGCGCUGAUGAGCCGCCUGGUGGCGCGCGCGGCCGGCGGCGGCGGCAACCGGUCGGCGCGGACGAGCAUGUUCGCCACGGGGGAGGCGGUGUACGCCCCCGACGAUCCCAUCGGGACGAUGUACGGGCUGGUGCAGUGCAUGAGGGACCGCAGCGACGCCGAGUGCCAACAGUGCCUGCAUACGCUGGUGCCGCAGCUGCCGACGUGCUGCGGGGGGCAUCAGGGAGGGGUGGUGCUCGGCUUCAACUGCCACCUCCGGGUCCAGGUGUACACCUACUACGACCUGGCGCUCGACGCGCCGCCUCCAGUUCCGGCUCCCCCACCACCGGAUGCUUCAUCGCCGCCGUCGGCCGGAGAAAAUCCCAGAGAGGGGAGGCCGUCAAAACGUGCCGUCCUUGCAGGCGCGAUUUCAACCGGAACGCUACUAGUCGUGCUACUCGUCGUGCUCGUUUGUGUUUACAUGAAGUGGAGGACGGGGCCGAACAAGAGAGCACGAGAUGGUGGUAUAGAAGAUAGCAGCAACACGUACGUCAGUCCGGAGCAGUUCACUCUGCCGUUGCUGAGGGCGGCGACGGGCAACUUCGCCCCGGAAAACAAGCUGGGCGAGGGAGGUUUCGGCCAGGUUUUCAAGGGCAAGAUGCCGAAUGGACAGGCCAUAGCAGUGAAGAGGCUGUCCCAGGGCUCCUCGCAGGGGUUCCAUGAGCUGAAGAACGAGCUGGUGCUGGCGGCCAAGCUCCGGCACCGGAACCUCGUGCAGAUCCUUGGGGUCUGCUUGGAGGAGAAAGAGAAGCUCAUCGUGUACGAGUACCUGCCAAACAGGAGCCUCGACACCCUCCUUUUCGAUAAUGGGCGGUGGCGGCGGCAUGGCCUGGACUGGAGGAAGAGGCACACCAUCAUCUGCGGGAUCGCCCGUGGCCUGCUCUACCUCCACGAGGAGUCGCGCCUGAGGGUCAUCCACCGGGACCUCAAGCCCAGCAAUGUGUUGCUGGACGAGCACAUGAGCCCCAAAAUCUCUGACUUCGGCCUGGCCCGAGCGUUCCGGGGAGACCAGUCCAGAGACGUGACCAAGCGAGCGGCCGGCACCCUCGGUUACAUGUCGCCGGAGUACGCCUACUGCGGCCACGUCUCCGUCAAGUCGGACAUGUACAGCUUCGGCGUCAUCGUGCUGGAGGUCGUCACCGGUCGAAGGAACAGCAGCCCAGGCCAAGACCACGCCAACAGCUUGAGCGAGGUGUGGGAGAAGUGGAGGGCCGGGACGGCGGCGGAGAUGGCGGACGCGUCGCUGGGCGACCAGUACCCUCGGGCCCAGGUGCUCAGCUGCAUGCACAUCGGCCACCUCUGCGUCCAGAAGAAGCCGGAGCUCAGGCCCGACGCGUCGGAGGUCGUGCUCAUGCUCAGCAGCCAGUCCACGUCGCGGCGCACGCCCUCCAGGCCGGCCUUCUACGCCGGCUCCACCGGCGGCGUGGUCACCGCCUCACGUGUUCGUCCUAGCGAAAAUGUUUCGAAGAAUGGGGUGACCAUGUCGGACCUUGAACCGAGGUAG